AUUUCUAGUCCCAUGUGAUCACUACUCAGAGAAGGGUGAGGAGAAUUCGGGGAUGACCUAUAUGAGGUUUCCGCUUCAGAAACACUCGCUAAAUUGACAGUGCUAUCAUUCAUCCUAACUAAGGAAAUAUGGAAUAUUGAAGGAAAAGCUUGAGUUAUGAGGAUACCUAGUUACAGAAGAUCGACGAGCAGGAGGAAUGAAAGGCGAAAACUUUAAGCGAACUUUCGUAUCCCUUAUAGUGAUGUUCUCAGGAAAAAAGAACGAAUAUGUUUUCUA
rnacentral:lncRNA from 1 species